AGUGAACGCUGGCGGUAGGCCUAACACAUGCAAGUCGAACGGCAGCACAGUAAGAGCUUGCUCUUACGGGUGGCGAGUGGCGGACGGGUGAGGAAUACAUCGGAAUCUACUUUUUCGUGGGGGAUAACGUAGGGAAACUUACGCUAAUACCGCAUACGACCUACGGGUGAAAGCAGGGGAUCUUCGGACCUUGCGCGAUUGAAUGAGCCGAUGUCGGAUUAGCUAGUUGGCGGGGUAAAGGCCCACCAAGGCGACGAUCCGUAGCUGGUCUGAGAGGAUGAUCAGCCACACUGGAACUGAGACACGGUCCAGACUCCUCCGGGAGGCAGCAGUGGGGAAUAUUGGACAAUGGGCGCAAGCCUGAUCCAGCCAUACCGCGUGGGUGAAGAAGGCCUUCGGGUUGUAAAGCCCUUUUGCUGGGAAAGAAAAGCAGCAGGUUAAUACCCCGCUGUUCUGACGGUACCCAAAGAAUAAGCACCGGCUAACUUCGUG
rnacentral:rRNA from 1 species